CUAUAAUUAAAAAUGGAACUCCUGCAUCCAGAGGAGUGUGUGGCAGCUCAAGCUGAAGAAUGAAUACCACAUUAAAACCUGACUGCAGGAGAUGAUCAGAAUAAAGCAGGAGACAGAAGGCUUUCCUGAAGGUCUGCUAGAUGAGCUCUAAAGGUCAUUUCCACACACGUUUCUGCUGAACGCCUCCCGCACAUUUCUCCGAGAAGCGAAAGUGAAACAGCAGAGGCUUUAAACCCUCCAGUGUGUCUGUGCUCGUCCUGAAGCCUCUGCGAACACCAGGAGCUCGGAUAAACCGCUUUGAUUCCGUUAAUAAGACGCCACGGUGGAUUCUCCGGUUUGUUCGCGAACGCAGAAUUGUGGGUCAUAUUCAGAAUCAUGCGGCAGAUCAGCGGGCGUCAGCAGAGCGCUGCCCGCGGUGUCCAGAAGGGGGCAGUCUGACCUCAGACAUCCGCAGACUAUACGAGCGAGGCCCCUGGGAAGAUGGCCGUCAGGGGCCCAGAGCAAGAUUUAAUGCAGGAGGCUGUGGGAAAUCUGCUGACCUGAGAAGACCGGCUCAGAAAUGAUCUCUCAAGCUAUGACUUUCAUCAGCUGAUACUAAUGAAAGCACUUCAUUACAGGACAUUGUUUUAAAAGGAUGUUUUCUUGAAUCUGGCUCUGUGGUGGUUUCGUUUUUCAUCACUUGUCACUUGUUUAAUGUGUUUUCUUUAUUGCAUUUACUUGAUGCUUUUCUCUAAAGUGACUUAUUGAUCCAUAUGACGGGAUUCGGCUGUAAUGUUCUUUAUUCUCUUGCCUGAACAAAAAAAUAAAUAAACUGUUUUCCUCACUGAAUCAUACCUGGAAUUUUCUGAAUUUCACUAUGACAGAAAUGCAGCGAUUAACUUUCUGAAUGUUUUUCAUGUUUUGCUGCUCCACAUCGGGUUGAAAUGAAUGAAGCAGAAUCUGGGUAUCAGUUCCAAACUCGUACGAUUGUCUUUCUUCUGUGGAACAAGGAAGAUUUGUUAGAGAAUCAAUGCAAUAAUAGUCAGUGGGGUCUAAAGUUUCAAGCACCAAAAAAACAUAAAUGUGGUGUAAAAGUCAUCAUACAACUCCAGCAGACUCUUCUGAAGCCAUACGAUCACUUUACACAACUAUCGGAGGGACCUCAAAUCAGCUCAUGUUUACAGACCUUUCUGAAAAUCAAGUAUGCUUUAAAAAGAGCACUUAAGUAAUAUACUUCAGAACAAUAUAUGGUCACACUUUAGUUUAGGGGACCAGUUCUUACUACUUUUGCCUCAAUAAACUCCUUAUUUGCUGCUUAUUAAUAGUUAGUAAGGUAGUUUAGGUAUUGGGUCAAAAUAAGGCAUCUAAAAUAUGCUUGUGCAUCAAAAUGUGUUAUAUUAGUGCUAAUAAACAGCCAAUAUGCUAGUAAUAUGCAUGCUAGUUAAUAGUGAGAACUGGCCCUUAAACUAAAGUGUUAAUUUAUAUACUUAAAGGGGACAUCAGAUGCAAAAUUCACUUUUACAUGAAUAUAAUGUGUGUUGGCAGUGUGUGGACACAAUUACCCUACAAUGAUAAAAAACACUCUUUUUUUUUUAAUCCCCAAAAAUCCUAUACAGUCUCAGUGACCAAGCUUUGAUUUUCUGAGCAGUAUGACGUCAUAUUGCUCAAGCCCCGCCCACAGCCGCUGACGGUGUUCUGAAAUAUUUGGUGUCUGAGAUUUUCUGUGAAACUGGGCGAAGCUUACAUGAAUAUUCAUGAGUUUCCUCUUAAAGUGCAGUUAAAACAUUAGUGCUCCUCGGAUCAAAAAAAAAAAAAAAAACCUGUUUCCGCAUGUGUGUUCCCAGCGAAUUGAACCCAUGACCUUUCAUCUGUUAACAUAGUGCUCUACCACCGAGCCACAGGAACACUUGAAGCAUCAGGAACACUAAUGUACUGUAUGUAACAUGUUGGCUGGCUUACUGGAAAAAUGCAUCAUCUUUUGAAUUUAAGUCUGUUAUCUGUAUAAUGAGCCUGAAACUAUCAUAUGGCACAAAACAAUUAGAACAGUGUGUAGACACCUGCUGAAAUCCCUCUCACGUCUUCUCCAUAUACACAUUUGUGAUUAAACAUUUAUCACCAAAUACCUUGCUCUAUUUAUUGUAUUCAUAAAUUAAAAAUGC
ensembl:lncRNA